rnacentral:rRNA from 1 species
ACGCUCGACACCUACGGGAAGCAGCAGUGGGGAAUAUUGCACAAUGGGGGAAACCCUGAUGCAGCGACGCCGCGUGAGCGAAGAAGUAUUUCGGUAUGUAAAACUCUAUCAGCAGGGAAGAAACUGACGGUACCUGACUAAGAAGCACCGGCUAAAUACGUGCCAGCAGCCGCGGUAAUCUGAGCGGCUGGCAAGGC